GGAGGUUAUAUUGUGUAGUGACACUUCCCCAUUCUAAUAAAUUAUAAACCCAAGGAUUAGGCAGUGAGCCAACAUUUUUUCUUCCUCUCGUUUCCAAAGUCAUUUGAAACAAAAUGCUCAUACGAUUCAAAUGCAAAGCUGCAUCUGCUUUCAGAUUUCAUUCAUUGUUGAUUUUCGAAUCUCAUAAUCUGUAUUCAACCUUAACCCGAAGCCAUCUCCUCACAAAAUACCUCAUCAAAUCCCUCGGAUUCACCAAGGAAGAAGCAUCAUUAGCAUCCUCCAAGGUAACCUCAUACAAAUCCUUAAACAACAAUAAGAACCCCGAUAUAGUCGUUAAUUACUUUAAACACGUCGGGUUCAACGAGAUUCAAAUAAAACAAUUGAUUUCAGUAACACCUAAGCUUCUAUUCUGUGAUGUAACCAAAACCCUAAAACCCAAAUUCCAAUGUUUAAUGGAUAUUGGGUUAACUGGGUCGGAUCUUGUAAAUGUAAUUGCUAAAGAUACAACUAUUGUUGAAAGAGGUUUAUUUACUCAUUUAAAACCUACAAUUAAUUGUUUGAAAAGAGUCUUGGGUAGUGAUGAUAAUGUUGUGAGAGCUGUGAAAAGAACGUCGUGGUUGCUUUCGUUUGGUGGUCGUAAUGUGAUGGAAAGUAAUUUAAUGUUGUUGAAAAAACGCGGUGUUUCUGAUGAAAAAAUACAAAUACUUGUGAGUAGGAAUCCUAGGUGCAUUACCCAGAAACCCGAGUGGGUUAAGGAUUUGUUGGAUAGAGUAGAGAAGGAUUUUCGAGUUCCACUUGAUUCCUCGAUGUUUCCUUAUGGAUUUCAUGCAUUAGCAAGUCAAAAGAAGUCGAGAUGUGGGGAAAAGGUUGAGAUAUUCAAGAGUUUUGGAUGGAGUGAUGAGGAUGUACUUACGAUGUUUAGGAAGUUACCUUAUUGUAUUGCGCUUUCUGAGGUUAAAAUUCGGAAAGGAUUGAGUCUUUAUAUGAAGGAGCUUGGUUAUGAUGCUGCUUAUAUUGCGUCUCAUCCGUCAAUUUUGAUAUAUAGUUUGGAAAAAAGGGUGUUACCUCGGAUGCAAGUGUUGAAAAUUUUGGAUGAAAAGAAGCUCGAGAGGAGAAAGAUGGGUCUUUAUAGUGUUGUGUGCUUAACUGAGAGGAAGUUCAAAGAUUAUUUUGUGUUGCCCUACAAGGAUCAAGUACCUGAUCUGUAUGAACCACUCAAGAAAACACUGGCGCCUUGACAGGGGUAAGGUCUGCGUAUAUAGUACCCAUCAUACCUCAGCUGCAGGAUUAUACUGGGUUUGUUGUUGCUGAUAUAUGUGCAAAUUUCCUUGAGCCGAGGAUCUUUUGGGAACAACCUCCUACCAUCAGGCGGUAGGGGUAGGGAUUGCAUAUACAUUGGCCUUCCCCAACCUCACGUGCAGGAUUAUACUGUAAGACUUGUGUAUAACCUACCCUUCCUCGGUCUCACUUGUGGGAUUACACGGGGUUUGUUGUUGUUGGUUUUAUGUAUGCAGGUUUCCUUGAGCCGAGGGUCUAGCAGAAACAACCUUUCUACCAUCACAAGGCAGGGGUAAGGUCUGCGUAUACACUAUCCUCCCCAUGCCCCACCUACGAAAUUAUUCUGAAUUUGUUGUUGUUGAAUGUUGAUAUAUAUGCAGGUUUCUAGACGUGCCUAGGGUGGUGAAUGCUUUUGGCAUUUCUUGAUUGUAACUCGGACAUGUUUUUCUAUGGAGUUUAUGUCUUAGUUUAGACUAGUGAGCCACUUCUAGAGAAAAACUUUGCAGUUUUCAGUAGUUAACUAUGUUGUAUUUACCACACUUUUUUUAAAAAAGAAAAAAUACCAAAAGUGACUCUUACUCCAAAAUAGAGUUUGAAAACAUAUCAAAAGAAGAGCUAUAAAUAACAAUAUCAUACCCAGUGUAAUAACACAAGUGGGGUCCAAGGAGGUUAGCAUGUACACAAACCUUAUCCCUACUUUUGUGGGUUAGGGAGGCUGUUUCCGAUAGACAAAAGAAGAGCUAUAAGGGGAAAAAUGAUACAUUACAAGAUUCUUUGAGGACUUGAUGCAUCUCUUUUGUUGCGUAGAAUGUUAAAAUUACACAGAAACCAAGGUUUGAUGGCAAUUAGAGCUUUUUGUGUUGUUCGCUGAGUAAUAAUAUUUUCUCUGUGCUCCUUGAAACUGUAUAAUUUUCCAAUCAAAUGGUGCUGGAGUAGCUCCAUUCUCAAUUGCCAACUCUAGUGAUUAGUUAUAAUCUCAAAUGUUACUCCAUGAUUCUUGAUAAUACAUCGAGUCCCAAAAACUUCAUUUAUCUGCAGACCAUGCCGAAUUGCUUCAUUGAUGACCAUAGCAUCCCUGACUUUUGCUCGUGAAACAUGGGCCAGAUUAAAUCUGCAUGGUAGCCCUCAACAGUAUCAAAAAGCAAAGGAACAUUUCCCUGCUGAAAACAAAUGUCAGCUCCAAGGACUAAAUCAUAUCCUUCUGGAUGCCCUUGUAAUAUGCAAUUCAGCGGAUUUGACUUACCCCAUUCCAGCUUCUCGGCUUUUAAUUUACAACACAUAGAAUCAUCUGAAGAUUCCUGCAGCUUUAUCUUGAGACCUUCAUUGUUAUGAUCUGUCAUCACCACUUCACGACAGAAUCUACAGCAAAGCACUCCAGUUAUACCAACACCAGAGCCUAGUUCGAUGACAGAACAUGUUAGUGGUCUUUGUAAUAUAAUCAUUCAACAGCAGUUCCCCAGGUCACACCAACUGUCCUGUCAUUUCAAAAUCAGUUGAAGAAGAUUAGAGGCAGUAAAGCUGAAGAACACGAGCCCCAAAAUGUAAAUCUGCAAUCUGGUAGUCGUCAUUGACAAAGAAAGAUUUGUCCAAGCACGCUAUGUCAUCAUCGCCAUCAUCUUCUCUACUCAUGGUGAUGGUGGUUUCUGUCUUCCUCUUGGAACUCAAGCGUGCAGAGUUAUGAUGCUAUAUUGCGAGCUCAGAUGAGAGUAAAAGUGAGUGAGCUACUUUAGGCUCAUAUCUAUGAGUUAGCCACAUUGGUCCAGGGUUAUGCAGCCUAAAUGCGGGUUCAUGUCUCUUCUUAUCAGACUGGAAUGGAAAACUACCACACCUUGAAUCUAGUUCAAGAAGAGCUCAUAGUUGUCAAUAUUUGAGUCAAAUAUAUUAUAUUUUGUAAUAUCUCGCUACUUUGAUAAACGUUUAACCAAUUGUAAUUGUAUAGUGCACUUAUAAUAAGACGAACGAUCGGUAUAAGGAUAUAUUGG